GCGACCCCAGGUCAGGUUGGAUUACCCGCUCAGUUUAAGCAUAUCAAUAAGCAGAGGAAAAGAAACUUACAAGGAUUCCCUUAGUAACAGCAAGCGAACCGGGAAGAGUCCAGUUUGAGAAUCGAGCGUCCUCGGUGUUCGA
rnacentral:rRNA from 1 species